CCUACGGGCGGCAGCAGUGGGGAAUAUUGCACAAUGGGGGGAACCCUGAUGCAGCGACGCAGCGUGGGUGAAGGAGUAUUUCGGUAUGUAAAGCCCUAUCAGCAGGGAAGAACAAUGACGGUACCUGACUAAGAAGCACCGGCUACAUCCGUGCCAGCAGCCGCGGUAAUACGUAUGGUGGAAGCGUUAUUCGGAUUUACUGGGUGUAAAGGGAGCGCAGGCGGCGCGUUAAGCCUGGUGUGAAAGUCCGGGGCCCAACCGCGGGACUGCAUUUGGAACUGGCGCGCUGGAGUGCCGGAGGGGUAGGCGGAAUUCCUGGUGUAGCGGUGAAAUGCGUAGAUAUUAGGAGGAACCCCAGUGGCGAAGGCGGCCUACUGGAGGGUGACUGACGCUGAGGCUCGAAAGCGUGGGGAGCAAACAGGAUUAGAUACCCGGGUAGUC
rnacentral:rRNA from 1 species